AAAAAGAGCUGCUCACAUGAGUUUUGAGAAGAGACGGUGGAGAAGACACACACACAUUCCUAAUUUCUUGCCUUGGCUGGAUAACACGGCUGCAAAAGCAACUUAAGACACCCAGACUUUCUCCACUGGCCCCUAUCUUUAAAGAUCACCCACUAUGAGAAGAAAACCAGAACCUUCCACUAAACUGCACAGAAGAUGGGACAGUGAAAACCAUGAGGCUGCUUGAAGAAUCUGCCAUGAUCCCAGUGUAUACAGUUUCAGAAACUACCAGUCCCUGCUCCAUUGGGGCCCACUACAAUGAUGCUGCCAGAGGUGGGAAAGCCCUGGUUGCCUGUCCCCGGGGGUAAGGUGAGCAGGGCAGUGGGAGGAAAGGCAGAGGUGGGAGCAGCAGGACACAGGAUUCCCCUCUGGCCCAUGAGUCCCUGGACUCCUCCUUAGGAAGAGAUGCUAGGUCUGCAGGGGUCUGAGAGCUGUCUCCGUCUGAAACCAAGCCAGGGCAGUCAGCAGCCCAAUUACCCAAGCUCCAUCUAAAUCAGCAUAUUCUAUUAGCUCUGGCCAUGGCUAUGGAAACAAGAAGUCAUUUUUGCAUUCAGAAAACAAAUCUAUGACCUAAAGGCUCUUGAAAGCUGGACGGUCAACUUUACACUGAACAUACAGAAAACCUCUUAUCUCAGCAACCUGCCAGGUAUCGUUUCAGACAUCCCACUACAAAGAAACUUCUCAGACAGUGAGAGAUGAGAAGAUGCGUACACAAUUCGUAGGCACUGUUACAGAAUGGUCAUCCUUGCUUUGAGGCUCACCCUCACAAACUCCUUGAGGGCAAUGUUUCACACAGUGAUCUGAAUUCAACAAAUGCUCGACAAAGUUGCCAGCAGUAAGUGUAUUUAAAGGGGAUUUUUGUUCACUUGACAUGCUCUUAAAAUCCUCUCUAUAGAAGAACUGUUUUAGAAGCCAAAAGGACUUAGUGAGCUACCCUUCGGGCUAAGUCACUGAUAGUGGAAGAGGCUGUGCUUCCACAUGCGCCCGGGGUUAAUCAGCACUAUCUCCUACCCCAGGUACAGAGCCGACUGUAUCCAACCUGAAGAGUGCUAAGAAGGAACUGUGCCUGCCACCAGCAGCAGACUUAGAUGCUGGGAAAGGGCUUAGAAACGAUGGCACAUCAUUUGCUGGACAAGGGAGCUCCCACGUCCCGAAUCUCAUGAGGCCUUCAGGAGGCCAGGCCCAUUUGCAGCUCCUGGUUCUCAUCAGUGGCCCUGCACCAGGGGUGGGGGUACAGGGGGGACUUUGAUCAGGGAAUAGGGUGCUGAGUGAGGCUGCACACAACUCAGAAACCUCCUUUAAGCCUGUGGAGAUGGGGUCUGCAGAGGGGAGGGAAGGCAUCAUCUCUGACUCAAUUUCAUUCCAGGGACGAGUGCAAUUUUAUGUCCCCACGAGCAGAACCCAGAGAAUCACUGGAAAAGCAGGGUGGGAAGUAGGAAGGCAUGUGGAUUCCCUGGGUUCCUGGGGAGUUCUGGGAGUACAUGCACAGAAGGCGGGCGUGGGGAGGCGGACUGCGUAAGGAACACAUUUCUGCUGUUUUUGAGCAGCACAGCUCUUUUUAAAAGAAUGGAUUGCUCCGUUGCGAUGGCUGUUACUCCGCUAUGUAAAAACACUCUUUACGGAUUGCCUGAAUUACAACAGGGUCUAUUCCUUUCGUCAAGCUGGCAAAGUAGCAACAGGGAGGGGAAGUAAGAAAGAUCAGGAAAACAACUUGGGAGGAAAACUUCAGCAAAAUUAUCCCUCCUCCCAUGUGUACCAUGUGGGGGAUUUUCUUUUGUAGGGUAGUGCUAGGCAGUUUAAAGCCAUUUGAACUUCCGUCUGCUGCUUCUGGGUUGCUAGAUUAAGUGCUGGCCGCAGCUCCCUAAUCUAAAAGCCAUAAGGACAGAGUUGCUGGAACUCUUACAGUUCCAACUCUAGCAAAUUAAUGGACUAAACACAGGAGUGGACUCUCUUUUUGAAUAUUAUACUCUAAAGAGUUGUUAUAAAAUAGGUUCAGACCUUUUUCCUGGCUUGGCAUUCCCUCUUUCAGAUCAUUUCCAUACACGUUUCAAACCUAGGAAACACUAGGCUGAUAUUUCUGCUGCUCGGUACAGACCAGCCUCACCCUAUGCUUCCGUUUUCCUUGACCCCAACUCCUGUCUAACUCUGGUCCUCCUGGGGCUUUCCCAGAGUUGAUCAAAAGUGCGACUCAGAACCCAGUCCAUCAUCCAGCCGAGUGAGCGGGCAGGCACAAGUGUAAGCUAUCCGGCUCAAGAGUGGUCCCCAUCCUGCCCUUGGGCACAC